rnacentral:rRNA from 1 species
UACAGAGGUCUCAAGCGUUGUUCGGAAUCACUGGGCGUAAAGGGUGCGUAGGUGGCGUGGUAAGUCAGAUGUGAAAGCCCGGGGCUCAACCCCGGAAUUGCAUCCGAUACUACCAUGCUAGAGUACUGAAGAGGUGACUAGAAUUCUCGGUGUAGCAGUGAAAUGCGUAGAUAUCGAGAGGAAUACCAAAGGCGAAGGCAGGUCACUGGGCAGUUACUGACACUGAGGCACGAAGGCUAGGGGAGCAAACGGG